ACAUAAGCUGAAUGUAUCUUAAACGAUUUGCAUCUAGAAUUGCAUGUUGCAUAUGCUUCGAUGCAUAUGCAGUGUGCUUAGAAUGAAAUAUAGCUAGCUUCUGCAUCGAAUGGCCUUCUCCCUUCGUUUUGUGAGUUUUUCUAAUGUAAAAUUCCCCAGCAACACGGCGCAUCACUCCUCAACUUCCAGCUUUUUGGCUCCGACUUCAUCCCAUUUUGUAUCCCCACUUCGUCAGACAAAUUGGCUUCAAAUCUUUUGACAUGCCACGUCAAGUUUGUCAUAUGUCCUGCGUGCACUUUGGGCUGACAAGGAUGUGUCCAACCUCCUCGGGCGGGACUCUGGAUUCUAGAUUCUCGUUUCUGGUUUCUGGAUCCUGGAUGCUGUAUUCAGUAUUCAGAAGGAAGCGAUGCCAGGCCAGGAAAUUGUUUUAAAGUGUGUCAGUCAGCAGUUCCCGCCGAGUUCUCCGUCUGUUCUUUAUUCUCCAACUGCCGCGCCUCCUUUUGCCCACACCCACGACGCCCCUCAUCAGCCGUGUGUUUUCGCAAAGUGAAAAUGCUUGGAAUUUUAAUGAAGGAGGUGGCCGGGCAGUCGGCAGAGAUUUGUCUGGUAUCCUGGCUCAGCCUCUCAGCGGCUUACGACUCCGCCGCGCGGCUGCUUUGCAUAUUUUUCCAUUAAAAACGAUUUAAAUACCUUUUGCCAUGUUUUCUUCGCUAUUCCUCUUAUCGCAGCCGCUUUCGACACUUGGGCUGGGAAAGUUCUUGCCCCAUCUAAGCCAGCGAGAAAUAAAAAGAUUGAAUUUUAUAAUAAAUUUCAGCGGGCUUAGGCCGGCGAUUCAUGGGUGCUCUCUGUACCGCCAGACUAUCUAGCGCGCCUGUCGUUCACCGGCGAUUUAUUGGUGGCACUGGGUUCGGAUCGGGUUAGCCAAUAUGUCUCUUCCCGGCAUUCCAAAUGCGGCUUCCACUGCCACCGCCAGGUAAUGCACAUAAAUCCCGAAAUCGUGUUAAGCCCACCGUGUUUAUCCGCCCAAAUGACGCACUAACCGCAGGCGGUGGUAUUCAUGGGUUAAAUUGACCAAAAAUCUUCCGCCUAAUUGUGAGCCUAAUAGGAUCGUAUUAAAUUUAUUAAGUACCACUCAUUGUUGUCAUCAUUACCAUUUGUUAUUGUGAUGGCGAACUACUCUCGUUUUCUUUAUGGUUACUAUUAUCAUUAAUUUUAUUAUGCUCGUGAUUGCCACAAUAAAAAAGGCAGAAAACCGCAA